GUGGAGCACACGUGGACAGGACAGACUUAAUAUCCGCGCACUGUUGUUGGUGAAGAAUUACAGGCCAACGGGGAAACUGUGACCUGAUUAUUGACGGCCUCACCAACACGGCGGACAGAACGUCCUCCCUCGUGAUGGCGGUUUACCCCCAGAGCUUUGGGCUCAGCCUCCAGAUACUUCUGUUUCCUGGUGUCGUUUCUCUGGAAGCUGAGUGUCACCAGAGGACUCUGAGCUGGGCUGAUGUCUUCCUCCACAACGGCCGCUUCGUCUGGAAACACACACUCUCUUUAUUUCGUACAACACACAGCGGGGAAGACGACGCGCUCUGCAGACGCUUGCGCAACAUCUGGAUUCCAGCACCGUGCGCAAACAUCGCGCGUUUCCAGCAGGAGUUUCCUCAGCUCCAAACUGUAAGACGGGCCCUCUUACCAGCCAUGAUCACAGUAUGCGCUGGAACGCGUCUUCCUGUUCUUUUGUCUCUUUUCUGUCAAUCGACCGCAGGCUGCGGAUCCGAAGUUUUGCAACAGCUUGGUGGACGACCCGAGUCCCGCCCCGCUAUUUCACCGCAACGUGACUUUCGUGAUCACGAAAAACACAAAGGCCUUUUAUUGGUAGAAUCCGGAUCUCCAAAGAGUUCCCAAACAGUGCUUCAAGCACAGGGAACGUUUGACACUAAACCUAGAUCCAGAUGUUACAGCUAUGAUGAGUGUGAGACAGGAGCUGUUCGAACCUGGAUAAGCACAAAUGUGCAGUUUUACAUCCUGUAGUGCUUAGUUCUGUUGUUGUUUUAAGGCAGUGUUUUAUACUACAUUUGCUUCAAUCAUUUCUAUCAGUAACAUAUUUGAAAUAAAACCAUAUUUGAAAAAAAAAGCAUAUACAGGUUUUGAGUAAGUGUAUAUUUGAGUUAUUUUCCAAAAUUAGAAAUGUGAUUAAUGGCAUAGAUUUAAAGUUAUGCGUUUUCAAUGUGUAGCCUGUAAAGCUUUGAUUGUUAUUACUGAAGGAUUAGCACACACUUGCGUAACAAGCAGCUCCAGAUGACAGUUGCUCAUUUCGUAGAGGAAGUGGCUGAAACUGAGAUUUAUUCCUCCUUUGUGUCACUAAUGCCAUGUAGUUCUCUUUCUCCCUUUUCACAUCUACAAUACACAGAAAAAUAAAUAAAUAAAUAAAUAAAUAAAUAAAUAAAUACAUACAUACAUACAUACAUACAUACAUACAUACAUACAUACAUACAUACAUACA